AAAUAAAACUUAACGUAGAUUUAUUAAGCCCUUAUCAAGACCCAAAGCAUCAUCAUUGCUGAACACAUAAUUCAUUUGAAAAUUAAAGUCUUUCCGAAUUGACUUAACUUACACAGAAAUAUUUGCCACUGGUCUUUACUCAAACAACGAUUCACUCAUAAAAUUACUUAAAAAGUGUGAGGUAAAUGUAUUGUUUGUCUAGUAUCUCGGAUCCGU
rnacentral:lncRNA from 1 species